AAGAUGUAUAUUAUGCAUAUGGUCAGGAGGCAUUCCUGAUAUGAUGUCAAAGUGUGGGAUGUUGACAAGACAUUUCACCCCUUUAAUGCCUCUCACAGAUUGGGUGGUGUGCACAGCCUCCCUUGCAUCAGUUAGGGCCCUUACAUAGUCGACGCGAGCGACGCGCGUAAACGACGUGAGUGACGCGAGCGUCGCGCUUCCUUUCAUAGUCUACACAGCAUACGCGAACGUCGCGGGCGUAGUGGUGUAUUGCAUUACAUGCAAUACACCACUUACGCCACGGGCGGCAGCAGAAUCGCCGGUGUUUUUGCGGCUUAUAUUGCGGGCGACAUUCCGAGUGCCAUUCCGAUCAAAAUGUCUACGGAAGAAGAGUGCAUUUUAUUGCUCCUUUUACACCGGCAACGACAACGCAGGAAGCGCAGAGACAUGCCCGCCUCCUUUGUGGAUACGACCGCUGACACCGGAGAGGUCCAGCCUGGAGAGUGGAGGCAGCAUGUCGAGGGGGACCGGAAUAUGGUCGACGGACCACGGUGUUCGGUCGGCAGAGCCAGACCAUCUCAAAGAGCGGCCCUUGUCAGGGAGCAGCUGGCAGAUUAUUUUCUGUCGGAUGCUGGCGUGUUUCCCCACCAGUACAAUGUGCUACGAUUGGGCACUGACCAAUAAACGUAUUGUUCACUUGGAAACAUGACUUCUAAUUUAUUAGUUAUCACAUUACACAAGUUAACUAAUUUGGUUUACGUCAAACUCAUUAAUUCAUAUCCAUAUAAAAUGUUUACACAACGAGCUACUGCCUUGACAGAUGAAUGAAUUAUUUAAUUGUACGCCUAUAGCCAAAGCUAUAGCGCAUAAUGUCCACAGAAAUUAUCACCAUUUUAAUAUGAUGUGCAUGUAUUUACCUGUAUGUCAAUUGUGGCACAUUUACAUUUAGGGCAUUUAGCAGACGCUUUUAUCCAAAGCGACUUACAAUAAGUACAUUUGUCAUAAGAAGUGCAUCAAUAUAUCGCUGUCGGUACAGAAAGGAUGUUCAUAGAACCAAGUGCAAGUACCACAAUCGCUAGGUUAAUCAAUUCCCCGUAUUACAGACAUGAUAGCAGCUGCUGCAGUUGCUACACAGUUAAGUGCUACAAUACAAUACAAUACUACAAUACAAUACAGUGUACAAUGGUGGUCAGAAGAGGAAGGGUGGCUAUUGCACUCCUGACCAUCCCUGGUAGAAGGGAUCCCCUACACUGCGUUUCUUCUCAAAAUUUCUUCCUUGCUGAUUCAAGGGAGUUUUUUCUUGCCCGUGUGGGGGCAUGGGUAAAGGGGGGUGUCACAAAUAUUUGGCCUGUUAAGCCCUUUGAGACUGUAAUGGUGAUUAAGGGUUAUACAAAUAAAAUUGAAUUGAACACUGAACUGAACUGAAUUGAACACACAGAACAUGAAGAACGUGAACGUAAUUAAUUAAAAUAGGCUAAAACAAAUAAGGCCAGUAAUAGAAAGAACAUCGGAACAUCGGGUGACAAGAAAAUCAUUAAAUCUCAUAAUCCCGCAUCAACUGUUUGAUGUCGCGCAUCAAAGAAGAACUUUGCCCCUGUGGAAGGGUUCGCAAGAAUUGGCAAAGGUAAUUGGUGAAGGAGAAGUGAAUGUCAUUCAUGUCUCGUUCCCUCAUCCUCUCUCUCUCCCUCUCUCUCUCAUUCUCUCUCUCCCUCUCUUCCAGCCUUUCUCUCUCCCUUUCUCUCGCCUUCUCCAUCUCCUUCUCUCUAUCCUGACGAAUUUCCUGCAGCCUAUCGAGGAGGGCAGCCUCGCAUGGAUCUGCAUUCGGCCUGACGC
rnacentral:lncRNA from 1 species